AAGGCUCAGUUCUCCAGGUGCAUACUGCCAUUGCUGGUUUUGAAAGCUGCCCACCAUGAUGUGCAAGUGGUUCUUCUCUGCUGGGAGGACAACAAAGUGGAUGCUUCCAAGUCUUCUGACAAGACUUGGAGGAUGCUAAGAGAAUUGUGAUGGUGCUGCCCAAGGCUUUUGCUGAAGUUGUAAUGCAGCUCUGCAUCAUGGAAAAUAUAGAUUUAGAGACUAAACAAAUUCCUGGCACGCAUUUUGGAGCAGUGUUUCUGGAUUGGGUGAUGCUGUGCACAGAAGUAUCUGAUGGCUUGAAGGUGGCUCAAUAAGAACUUGUUAUAGGUGGAGCCAUUCACCAGUUUCUGUACUCAUAGAGGAAAGGAGCCAUCAUAUGCCGUAAUGCAAAAAUAUCUCACUCAGUAAAAAGAUGGAGACUUUUUUUUUUAAUUUAACUUCAGAUUUGGGAGUACAAUGUCAUCUGUUUUCUUUGGUUUGCCUCGGGCCUUUCGGGAUAUAAAUAAUAAUUUCGAAUGGGAUUUAUUUCAUGUAACUUCAGACACCUGGAAAAAACAUUUGGUGUAGCUAUCCACCCAGUUUACCUUUAAAAUCAAGGAAGAUAAAUUUAUCACCUCUGUCUUAGACACACAUCUUAAGAUGGUAUCUUUUUUUUUCUCCCACAUAUUGUAAGCUGUAGGCUAUUCUCUGAAUUAAUUUCUGCAUCAAAUCUAACAACUAGGUUUACUUGUGGCGGGUAUGUUAGAAAGAUACUGUAGCGUUUCUGGUUUUGUGCUGAGAAAUCCAGUAGUCUUUAGAAAAGUUAAAUUAGUUAAAUAUUUCUUUUAAAGUCACCGUAUGUCCAGUCUUCAUCUGGGGUGCUGGUAGUCACAUGAUGUGGCAUGGUGGGCUGAUAAGUGCCCAUAGUUUUUUUUUUUUUUUUUCUACCACUAACACUGCCUGGUCUCAGCAGAUUUAUGCCUGUUUUCCCAGAAAAUACCCCUUCAGUCAACUUUCAAAACUUCCCUUUCUCCAAUCCCAUUACUUUCAGAUUUGAUGAAAUAGUAAUUACUAACUUUUUUUUUUUAUUUUGAAUUGAUAUUUUAGAGUCAAGACCUCACUCCAGCAAGGCUUCUCUAAACCUGUUUAAUGAGAAUACCCCAUUCACAGCUGCAUUUUAAGGCACAGACAGUUUUUAAUCCAUUUAAUGUGUGCUGGGCUGGUUUUUCUUUACUGUGAUUUCUUAAUUGAGACAUCGUGUGUAAGGAAGUCAGAUGCCUCAGUUUAGUGGAUUACACAAACACUGAAUUACCUUUAUCACCGAAGCUCAUAACCUCAUUAAGAAGUCCACGUUUCUGUGAUAUGUUUAGUUUCCCCCAUAUUUAUUAAUUGUGCUACAACAGUAUGAAAUUGUGUCCUGUGUUAUAUGUUGCUUUACCUUUUCAUAAGUGUAGGUCAGACUGAAGGGUACACUCAGCCCUUCCUUCUACUGCUAAUAUUGAGUACUUCUUACUGUUAACCUUUUCUGAGAUAAAUGUGGAGUCUGAAAUAACUUUAUAAACAGCUAUUUUGGUAAUUUGAGUCUUCUUGUUGAGUCUUUGGACCCCUGGAUUGUCUUCCCUCUGGGUGCAGAUACUGUUCCCCAUCAUGUAUCAAAAUGGUAAUUGUAUGAUAGCAAGUAGAAGGAAAUAUUAGCAAAUCAAAUGUCAUUGGUGCUCCUUAAAUGUUUUGAUUAAGUUUAUUCUUAAGUUAUCUGUUCAAUCAUUUUUCUCAGGUUCUCCCUCUUCAGAGUAGUCGGCUUCUUGUCUCCUUUACAACAUGGUCCCCUUGUCUGCUCCCUCACUUCUUGUUGUGAUGCCAAUGCUCAGACAUGACUUAGUUCUCAAAAAUUGUCAAACGUUUUUUUUUUUUUCUUAAAAAAAAAAAUCAACAAAAAAGCAUAUUAAAAGUCGUCUUCAUUUGUG
rnacentral:lncRNA from 1 species